GAGUUUGAUCCUGGCUCAGAACGAACGCUGGCGGCGUGGAUAAGACAUGCAAGUCGAACGAUCACUAUUGGGUAGCAAUAUUCGGUAGUGGGAGUGGCGCAAGGGUGCGUAACACGUGGGUAAUUUGCCGUAAAGUCUGGGAUAACUUGCUGAAAGGCGAGCUAAUACCGGAUGUGAUUGCUGGAGGGCAUCCUCUGGCACUUAAAGUCGGGGACCGUAAGGCCUGACACUUUUCGAUAAGCCCGCGGCCUAUCAGCUAGUUGGUGAGGUAACGGCUCACCAAGGCUAAGACGGGUAGCUGGUCUGAGAGGACGACCAGCCUCACUGGAACUGAGACACGGUCCAGACACCUACGGGUGGCAGCAGUCGAGAAUUUUUCUCAAUGGGGGAAACCCUGAAGGAGCGACGCCGCGUGGGGGAUGAAUGGCUUCGGCCCGUAAACCCCUGUCAUUUGCGAUCAAACCUUACGACCUAACACGUCGUAAGCUGAUAGUAGCGGAAGAGGAAGGGACGGCUAACUCUGUGCCAGCAGCCGCGGUAAUACAGAGGUCCCAAGCGUUGUUCGGAUUCACUGGGCGUAAAGGGUGCGUAGGCGGUCGGGUAAGUCUGACGUGAAAUCUUCAAGCUCAACUUGGAAACUGCGUCGGAUACUAUUCGGCUAGAGGAAUGGAGGGGAGACUGGAAUACUUGGUGUAGCAGUGAAAUGCGUAGAUAUCAAGUGGAACACCAGUGGCGAAGGCGAGUCUCUGGACAUUUCCUGACGCUGAGGCACGAAAGCCAGGGGAGCAAACGGGAUUAGAUACCCCGGUAGUCCUGGCCCUAAACGGUGCACGUUUGCUGUAAGAGGAAUCGACCCCUUUUGUGGCGAAGCUAACGCGUUAAACGUGCCGCCUGGGAAGUACGGCCGCAAGGUUAAAACUCAAAGAAAUUGACGGGGGCCUGCACAAGCGGUGGAGUAUGUGGCUUAAUU
rnacentral:rRNA from 1 species